rnacentral:ncRNA from 1 species
CCUUUGGACUGUUAUAGCAAACAAAAGUAGUAUGCUUUAUUACGAAAUUGGACAGGUUGAAUAAGGAA